GAAAAAUUUAGUUAAAAUUAUAACAUUAGCUUGUCAAGCUAAAAUUAUUAAAUCUAAUAAUUUUU
rnacentral:tRNA from 1 species